rnacentral:SRP_RNA from 1 species
UUGGCGGCUAGAUUGGGAGGCCAGCGGUCUCCUGUAACACGAAAUCCGCUUAUGCGUGAAUCGAAGCCUUUGAGGCGUUUCAUUGCUGGUUUGCAGGGCCAUUAAAGCUUUGCUGAUCUUCUGUCCUCUUAGAUUGCCUGCCUGAAUGAACCCGCCAGGUUCGGAAGAAAGCAACGGUGAUUCAUGCAAACAAUGCUUUGAGUCAACGGAAGGGAGAAGCCUGAUGGGUUAACCUGCUUGCUAAACAAUGCUGCCACUUGAAGGCACGCCGCCGC